CCUUGCCCUCUUCAUUAGCUGGGGAUAUAGACAUGAGACAUUGGCAACUGGAAGAAUAGUUUUUUUUUUUGUUUUUGGUGGUACUGGGUUUUAACCUUAGGGCUUUGUGUUUGCCAGGGAAGUGCUUUCCCACUCUACCACUUGAGCCACUCCUCUAGUCCAACUUUUUGCUGAUUAUUUUGGAAAUGUAGUAGGUAUUUCUGACCAGGUUGGCUUCUAGCCAAGAGUGUUGGACAAGUUAUGUGGCCCUGAAUUCGAUCCCUAGUACUGAAAAGACCAAAACAAAAAACUUUAAGGGCUAGAAAUGUAUUUCAGUGGUAGAGUGUUUACUUAGCAUACUUUGUAGUCCUGAGCACCUUCCCCCAAAGGAAA